AGCGAACGCUGGCGGCAGGCUUAACACAUGCAAGUCGAGCGCCCCGCAAGGGGAGCGGCAGACGGGAGAGUAACACGUGGGAACAUACCUUUUGGUUCGGAACAACUGAGGGAAACUUCAGCUAAUACCGGAUAAGCCCUUACGGGGAAAGAUUUAUCUCCGAAAGAUUGGCCCGCGUCUGAUUAGCUAGUUGGUGAGGUAACGGCUCACCAAGGCGACGAUCAGUAGCUGGUCUGAGAGUAUGAUCAGCCUCACUGGGACUGAGACACGGCCCAGACUCCUACGGGAGGCAGGAGUGGGGAAUAUUGGACAAUGGGGGCAACCCUGAUCCAGCCAUGACGCGUGAGUGAUGAAGGCCUUAGGGUUGUAAAGCUCUUUUGCCCGGGAAGAUAAUGACGGUACCGGGAGAAUAAGCCCCGGCUAACUUCGUG
rnacentral:rRNA from 1 species